rnacentral:rRNA from 1 species
GACGAACGCUGGCGGCGUGCCUAAUACAUGCAAGUCGAACGCUUCUUUUUCCACCGGAGCUUGCUCCACCGGAAAAAGAGGAGUGGCGAACGGGUGAGUAACACGUGGGUAACCUGCCCAUCAGAAGGGGAUAACACUUGGAAACAGGUGCUAAUACCGUAUAACAAUCGAAACCGCAUGGUUUUGAUUUGAAAGGCGCUUUCGGGUGUCGCUGAUGGAUGGACCCGCGGUGCAUUAGCUAGUUGGUGAGGUAACGGCUCACCAAGGCCACGAUGCAUAGCCGACCUGAGAGGGUGAUCGGCCACAUUGGGACUGAGACACGGCCCAAACUCCUACGGGAGGCAGCAGUAGGGAAUCUUCGGCAAUGGACGAAAGUCUGACCGAGCAACGCCGCGUGAGUGAAGAAGGUUUUCGGAUCGUA